AGUCCAAAGGGGGAACCUGGAGCAGAAGAUCGUCUGUGUGAUCCUUAGUUUCUGCAGUCCCUCCUUCCAGAGUUUAGACCUGGUCUCAAGGACAACUUCUUCUCUUUUGUACAGACUAUUCCAAUUGUUAGUAGGUACACUUUCAUUUUGAAUAAGGUUUGUCAUCAAUGUCUUUCAGGUUUGAGCUUAGGGGGUAAUUUUCAGCCCAGAAUAUUGACUGCCUUGGAAAUAUGGCUAGCACAUUGCUUAUGACUCCUUGAGAAGCCAGUAUCAGCAUCACCCUCAAGCUAAGUGUGCUUUUGUUAAACUUUGUGGCUGAAGGGAUGGACUUCAGAAUUCAGUUCCAAACUUCUGUCCUAAUCUAGCUGUUCCCACUUUACAGUUCAAGAAGCAUCUACUGAGGAAAAUGGGGAGGAAAAAAGAAAUGAAGGUCCAGUACAGCAAACUGUGAAUUCAGAGAUGGAGAGGCAGAGAGACAGGCUGAAGAGCUCUCAGUCAGAAUGAUCAAACCGUAAAAAAAGAAGGUAAGAGCCACAGCAGAGGUCUGAAAAACAGCCAGAGAAACCAUCCUGGAUUUCAUAAAACCCCAAAAGAUUAUACGACUUCAUGUCACGGCUUUGGGAGAAUGAUAAAAUUGAGGUUGAUAAAUGGCUUGUGUGAAUGAUUCUA